CGGGAGCUGCGGAGAUGACCGCUAACAAAAAAACAAAACGCCCGGACCGCCAUCAUUUCUCGCGCCGAGCGUCAAACACGUUCACACCGAAAUACUCGCGAUGCGUUCAGCGUAGCAGAUUCUGGUGUGGACGGUGGGGAGACGACGUCAUCGCCAGCGCGCUCACGGUCGAAGAAAACGCCGGACCCGGGUCCGAGCGUGGAAAGCGUGGAAAGCCGAUGUUUGAGCAGAUGACGAGGCGAGAGAGAGCGUGGCGGGCUAAAACGCUAAAGCGCCGCUGCACCACGCUGUCUGUCAGCAGGUAGUGGAAUGGCGUCGUGUGUACUGCAGGAAAGCAAAGUGAAAAUUGGGCGAAUUUAAACAGAAAAUCAUUCUUGGACUGAGUUCCUUCAACGGCGAAGAAGCUCAUCGUUCCGCGUCGUCACUUCCCGCUUUCGAACUUCCGGGAGAGCGUGUCCGUGACGCUCCAGCGUCCCGCCGAGGUCCCGCAGCUUCGUGACGAAGAUGUUUACGGAAGAGAGGAAAUAUUUUUGGGUGACUUUAGAGGUUCAUUAGUGACGUUGGAUUAAGUCUCGUCGCUCCAGUGCAAAAAAAAAAAAAAAACUGGAGCAAACGUCAGAGCAAGACUCGCAUUUUAUUUCCUACAGGAAAAAAGAACUAUAGGUUAAAUAGGUUUUUUUUUUUUCGGCGAGACCGUUCCUUUCCUCUGAGCUUUACUCGGCUGUACGUCGUUCCGAUAUAUAGCGGGACGGCGGAAUGGAAUUCCUGUCUUCAGGAACGAUGUCUUGAUUAUUUGCACGUGCGAACGUUUUCACACGUCCAGCGCGACUGGUGAAAGAGCGACGACGUGAACGGGGCGUUCAAAGGGAAAACGGAGAGACGUUUGAACACGCGGUUGGGACGUGACGGUGGAGGGUUUUGCACGUUGCGGGUGAAGCGGGGGUCGUGUCGGGUGAUUGCGUGGAGAAGGAGAGAGGAGAGCGUGUGAUUGGAUGAUUGGAUGUGGAUACGAAGGAAGACGAGUGGAAAACGUACAGCGGCGUGUAGCAUCUGUCGUCUUUGAUGUGUUUUUUUUACAGAUCUUAAAUAUCUCGGGUGCGUGCGUUUACUCCAUUUCCAGAUCAUAACAAGGACAGUUUUAUUUGAUUUUGUGAAAUUUGAAUGUUCAAAUAUUUGUACCCCCCCAGGGAUAAACACUAAGUUUAAAAAUACCACUUUCCGAAGCAAAUUAACGUUUUUAUGACGUUUUAUUUGAUCCGAGGUGCCAAUUAUUGUUAACAAAGGCUAAUUUUUCCAUUUUUACGUGCGUUUUUUUUUUUCUUUUCUUUUUUUCCUCCAGAUGUGCGGCAAGCCACAGAAACAAAACGGAGAGGGGCGGACCCCGACACCGCGAGUCCCGCCUUUUCGUUUUCUGUUGGCUGACGAGACGGAGGCUCGUGACGUCACAGGUCAGAGGUCACCGAGAUAACGUCGACGGCACAGCAGUUAAA
ensembl:lncRNA